rnacentral:lncRNA from 1 species
GGUAAUAUAAUAAAAUCACGAAGCAAGAAGACAUGUUGACGAAUACGUAUGGUUGAAACAACUGAAGCAGACAAGUCAUAAAUAUUUAUUUUAAUUUUUUUAAUAAAAUAUUAUUAUUUUUUAAAUCCAAUUAGGCUUUUUUUUGCCUAAUCAGCAACAAGCAUUGAAUGUGUGUAAUACACUCGCCUGACGUGGUAAAAUUAGCCAAUUAGAAAAAAAUACAUGGCAAAAAAAACAAUACGUGAAAUUACUGAUUUUUUCUAUUUUUCUAUUUAAUUAU